UAUACAACACCCCACAUGUUGAUUAUGUUAAUUCAUAAAUACUGUUACUGAUACUUAAAUUAUGUUGUCAGGUGAACAAAGAAUGGCUCCAACUCAAGCUAUAGCUUCUGAUGAAUUGAACGAAAAUACACCUGUAAUAGAAUUACCAAUUGGUCAUUUAAGGAAUUUGAAGAAAAGAGUGAAAAUGAAAGCUUAUACACUUGCUGAAAGCACUGAAAUAUCAAAAAUAAACUUAAAAAACAAGCAACUCGUAUUCUUUUUAUCUACUGUGGUAGAGAACAAUUGCAAAGGCUUUUUUUUGGCGAAAUAUUAGAUUUUAAAGAGUAGUGAUGAUGACAAUUUGCAAUGUUCAUGUACUUUGACUAAUAAAUCCUGUAAACAUAAA